rnacentral:miRNA from 1 species
AAGGGGAGACGGUGGAACUUAU